rnacentral:misc_RNA from 1 species
AGUCGUAACAAGGUUUCCGUAGGUGAACCUGCGGAAGGAUCAUUAACAAAUCGGACUGUGGUUUCACGUUAGACAUGCAUGAGUGAGUGAUCAUAUUUAUGUAUGAUGUGUACACUUGUAUAUGUAUGAGUGAGUGAUCAUAUCAUAUCACUCAUAUCAUGUAUGUCAUCAUAUCAUGUAUGUCAGAUCAUAUCACUCAUAUCAUGUCUAACGUGGGACUGCUGGACAUUGGCGCUUCGCCGCUUGGCGAGUGCAUGAACGCUUUAUUGUCGGUUGAUGGUAGUGUGGGCUAGUAAAUAGUAAAUAACGAUCACUUUUAACAAUGGAUCUCUUGGCUCCU